AGAACGAACGCUGGCGGCAUGCCUAACACAUGCAAGUCGAACGAGACCUUCGGGUCUAGUGGCGCACGGGUGCGUAACGCGUGGGAAUCUGCCCUUGGGUUCGGGAUAACAGUUGGAAACGACUGCUAAUACCGGAUGAUGACUUCGGUCCAAAGAUUUAUCGCCCAGGGAUGAGCCCGCGUAGGAUUAGCUUGUUGGUGAGGUAAGAGCUCACCAAGGCGACGAUCCUUAGCUGGUCUGAGAGGAUGAUACACGCCAACACCGUGGGAAC
rnacentral:rRNA from 1 species